UACGAAGGGGGGCUAGCGUUGCUCGGAUUGACUGGGCGUAAAGGGCGCGUAGGCGGUUCGUACAGUCAGACGUGAAAUUCCUGGGCUCAACCUGGGGGCUGCGUUUGAUACGUGCGGGCUUGAGUGCGGAAGAGGGUCGUGGAAUUCCCAGUGUAGAGGUGAAAUCGUAGAUAUUGGGAAGAACACCGGUGGCGAAGGCGGCGACCUGGUCCUUUUACUGAGCUGAGGCGCGAAAGCGUGGGGAGCAAACAGG
rnacentral:rRNA from 1 species